GAGCUAGAGGAUAGAGAUGUGUUAGAGGAAGCUAGAGGUUAGAGAUGUAUGUGUAAGAGGAAGCUAUAGGUUAAAGAGAUGUGUUAGAGGAAGCUAGAGGAUAGAGAUGUGUUAGAGAAAGCUAGAGGUUAGAGAUGUGUUUUAGAGGAAGCUAGAUGCUAGAGAUGUGUUAGAGGAAGCUAGAGGAUAGAGAUGUGUUAGAGAAAGCCAGACGAUAGAGAUGUGUAAGAGGAAGCUAGAGGUUAGAGAUGUGUGUUAGAGGAAGCUAGAGGUUAGAGAUGUGUUAGAGGAAGCUAUAGGUUAAGAGAUGUGUUAGAGGAAGCUAGAGGAUAGAGAUGUGUUAGAGGAAGCUAGAGGAUAGAGAUGUGUUAGAGGAAGCUAGAGGUUAAAGAUGUGUUAGAGGAAGCUAGAGGAUAGAGAUGUGUUAGAGGAAGCUAGAGGUUAGAGAUGUGUGUUAGAGGAAGCUAGAGGUUAAAGAUAUGUGUUUUAGAGGAAGCUAGAGGAUAGAGAUGUGUUAGAGGAAGCUAGAGGUUAGAGAUGUGUUAGAGGAAG
ensembl:lncRNA